rnacentral:rRNA from 1 species
AUUGAACGCUGGCGGCAGGCCUAACACAUGCAAGUCGAGCGGAUGAAGGGAGCUUGCUCCUGGAUUCAGCGGCGGACGGGUGAGUAAUGCCUAGGAAUCUGCCUGGUAGUGGGGGAUAACGUCCGGAAACGGGCGCUAAUACCGCAUACGUCCUGAGGGAGAAAGUGGGGGAUCUUCGGACCUCACGCUAUCAGAUGAGCCUAGGUCGGAUUAGCUAGUUGGUGGGGUAAGGGCCUACCAAGGCGACGAUCCGUAACUGGUCGGAGAGGAUGAUCAGUCACCCUGGAACUGAGACACCGUCCAUGCUCCUACGGGAGGCCGCAGUGGGGAAUAUUGGACAAUGGUCGAAAGCCUUAUCCAGCCAUGCCGCGUGUGUGAAGAAGGUCUUCGGAUUGUAAAGAACUUUAAGUUGGGAGGAAGGGCAGUAAGUUAAUACCUUGCUGUUUUGACGUUACCAACAGAAUAAGCACCGGCUAACUUCGUG